UAUCCACCAUAUAUCUCUCUAAGUAAUCAAGCUGUGGAUUUCAACAAUGAGACAGUGGAACUCGAUGACUGUGUGUGUAAGGAAGUUUUGGAGUAUCUAGCACAUCAAUACCAAGUCCAGUUUUCAUUUGUUAAACCUCCAGAGAUGAAAUGGGGUCUACAAAACGAUGGCAAAUGGAGUGGAGCAGUAAAGAUGGUUCUUCAGGGAGAGGCAGACAUGAUCCCCUUCUUGACAGUGACAACACAGCGGUCAGCUGUAUUAGACUUCAGCUUUCCACUCUCCACCGAGAAAUACUCCAUCCUGGUAAAAAGACCAACUGA